CGUGUUUCUUCAUAAUGUAUUAAAGUGCAUAACAUACACAGAAGUAUUUUGCUCUAACAAGGUAUUAUAAACUGUUUGCAGUCGCAGUUUCUUUUUUAUCGAUCAUAUUAGAUGCUGGGAAAAACUAUAAUCGACACUCAUCAUCGCUUUUCGGAUUAAAUUGCAUAAUUCUUUCUUCAUAUAUCUUACACAUGCCUCCGUAACGCUACUGCCAUGCGAGGACGACAGACGGUUUUCACGUGUUUCACCACAUUCAGUCACGAUUCUUUAAAUGAAGAAAGGCUUUACUGUAACAUGUGUUUGUAUAUG